GACGUAGGGCGCGAGCGUUGUCCGGAUUUAUUGGGCGUAAAGAGCUCGUAGGCGGCUUGUCGCGUCGACUGUGAAAACCCGUGGCUCAACCAUGUGGUCUGCAGUCGAUACGGGCAGGCUAGAAUUCGGUAGGGGAGGACGUGGAAUUCCUGGUGGUAGCGGUGAAAUGCGCAGAUAUCAGGAGGAACACCGGUGGCGAA
rnacentral:rRNA from 1 species